rnacentral:rRNA from 1 species
GAUGAACGCUGGCGGCGUGCCUAAUACAUGCAAGUCGAGCGAACGGACGAGAAGCUUGCUUCUCUGAUGUUAGCGGCGGACGGGUGAGUAACACGUGUAUAACCUACCUAUAAGACUGUGAUAACUUCGGGAAACCGUAGCUAAUACCGGAUAAUAUUUUGAACCGCAUGGUUCAAAAGUGAAAGACGGUCUUGCUGUCACUUAUAGAUGGAUCCGCGCUGCAUUAGAUAGUUGGUAAGGUAACGGCUUACCAAGGCAACGAUGCAUAGCCGACCUGAGAGGGUGAUCGGCCACACUGGAACUGAGACACGGUCCAGACUCCUACGGGAGGCAGCAGUAGGGAAUCUUCCGCAAUGGGCGAAAGCCUGACGGAGCAACGCCGCGUGAGUGAUGAAGGUCUUCGGAUCGUAAAACUCUGUUAUUAGGGAAGAACAUAUGUGUAAGUAACUGUGCACAUCUUGACGGUACCUAAUCAGAAAGCCACGGCUAACUACGUG